ACAGGUGGAAAUCAAUAGGCUCGGAGACGAUAGGAAGUCAAGCCCGGGCGGACUUAGUGAUCUCUACAUCCAACACGGGACUCAAAUUCAUGAUCCUGAGAUCAAGAGUCGCAUGCUCUUCCGACGGAGCCAGCCAGGCGCCCCAGCAUUUAAUUAGUACUCACUGAAGGUGAUGGGCCUGGGAACCCGUUGGAAACCUGGCAGGCAGGGAGAUGCCUCCUUCCACAGCAAACGGCAGGUGUCUUUCAAGCCCUAGGAGGAAGGAAUGGAGGAGAGAAGAGGAGAAAUUCAGCCUCUGAAUCACCUGGAUAUAGGGGCCUGAGGCUUACCUCUUUAAGAAAAAGAAUGCAAAAACCUCUCCCUUCUGCAAAUAUUUUACAAUUGUAUGACCGCGUGUAUGAUCAUGUGACUCUUGGAAGGAGCCCCUGCCAGGGAAGGACUCAAGCUGAAGCUUCAUAAGCUUUCUUGUAAACAGUCUCUGCCUGCCUUCACCUUUUUGUCUUCUGAAUUUGAACACUAUCAAUUUUAUUCCCUACCCUCAAAAAUUAUACAUUUCUGAAUGAGUAAAUGAAUACAGGCAUUUCCAUGCCCAGGUAAAAGAUAUUUUGAGAAAUGCAGAAACAUAUUCUCCCGUGAGUCUCCUGAUGCUAAUGGCUCCAGGACAAGCCAGCUUUACCAUUCCUCUUGUCUUUCCAGGAUGUUGCAACUGGGCAUGUUUCCAUGGCAUCCCUUAUUUUUUUCUGGCAGGACAGAAAGGGCCCAGGGCAGGGGAUUGGGAGAUUGGGGUUCUAGUCCCAACUUCACAACUACAGAGAGGGCUGGGGCAGAAGCAGCAGUGGGUGAGCUGCAUAAUUCCCCAGGAGAGGCUGAGGCCUGGGGAGAGCAAUGUGGCUGCUGACCCCAGGGGGUACAACUGGGUCCUCCUACAGCAAGAACUCCAAGUCCAGGGCUCUUUCCGCUGUACUCCCCCUUCUUGUAUCUUCCUCUAGCCGUGCAUUCUUGGGAAAAUGAUUUCUGACCCUUCUGAUGUUUGGUUUCUUCCUCUGUACAAGAAAGGGCUAGAACCAGAUAACCCAUAAAUUCC